GAUGGGAGAGUCGAAGAGGGGAUCCUAGAGUUGGAACCUAGGGGUGGUGAAGGAUGUAGGCGCGCUGGAGUAAAGCCCUGGAAGCCGAGAUGGGCCCCCAGCGCAGAGUGCCGCAACCCCGAUCCCGCUCCGUGUCCCGACCCCGACCCGGCCCCCGUUCGCGCUCUCGCCCAGGACCCUCUGGGGGCUGCCGGAGGCCGGCGCGGCGCGCACGAGGGUGAGUCAGACCCCAGGAGGAUGAGGGCUCUGAGGCCAGAACGGCACACGCUGUGGCUGGAACAUGUAUAGAGGUGCCCACCCUGGAUGAGAUGCCCCGUCGACACCCAUCAACGCUCAGCUUUAGAUCCAAGAACCACUCUGAACGGAAACUACAGGAAGGAGACUCGACCCUCUCUCCCCAACCAUCUAGUGCUUAUUUCACAGAUGGGGAAACUGAGGACCAUUUGAUAACACAAUGAGACAGUGUUUUGGGACUUAAGUUCCUUCUAAUGACAGUGUUGCUUCAUCCCACAGACAUGAAGACUUAAGUCCAGCCCUAGCUCAAGAGUGACCUGGAAGGGUCACUUCUCCUCUCUGGGCCUCAGUUUACCUAGUCUGUAAGUUGAGUGGAAUCAUGUUUAGUGAGCCAGCCUAUCAACUGACUGAGAUGUCACAAUGGGAAAAACUACAGACCCCUCUUCCUAUGAGGAGGGUAUGAAACUCCCAAAUGGAAUUUUAGCAAAAGGAAUUAAGCAACACCCUUCUUAAAUACAUCACAACAAAGGGGACUUAUGCCUGAGAUGCAGGGAUGAUUCGAUAUUCACAAGUCUGCUAAUAAAAUUCACCAUACUAAUGGAUCAAAUGAGAAAA